rnacentral:rRNA from 1 species
UGGUGGGUAGUUUGACUGGGGCGGUCUCCUCCUAAAGAGUAACGGAGGAGCACGAAGGUCAGCUAAUCCUGGUCGGACAUCAGGAGGUUAGUGCAAUGGCAUAAGCUGGCUUGACUGCGAGCGUGACGGCGCGAGCAGGUGCGAAAGCAGGUCAUAGUGAUCCGGUGGUUCUGAAUGGAAGGGCCAUCGCUCAACGGAUAAAAGGUACUCCGGGGAUAACAGGCUGAUACCGCCCAAGAGUUCAUAUCGACGGCGGUGUUUGGCACCUCGAUGUCGGCUCAUCACAUCCUGGGGCUGAAGUAGGUCCCAAGGGUAUGGCUGUUCGCCAUUUAAAGUGGUACGCGAGCUGGGUUUAGAACGUCGUGAGACAGUUCGGUCCCUAUCUGCCGUGGGCGCUGGAGAAUUGAGGGGGGCUGCUCCUAGUACGAGAGGACCGGAGUGGACGCAUCACUGGUGUUCGGGUUGUCAUGCCAAUGGCAUUGCCCGGUAGCUAAAUGCGGAAGAGAUAAGUGCUGAAAGCAUCUAAGCACGAAACUUGCCCCGAGAUGAGUUCUCCCUGACUCCUUGAGAGUCCUGAAGGAACGUUGAAGACGACGACGUUGAUAGGCCGGGUGUGUAAGCGCAGCGAUGCGUUGAGCUAACCGGUACUAAUGAACCGUGAGGCUUAACCUUACAACG